rnacentral:rRNA from 1 species
GACGAACGCUGGCGGCGUGCUUAACACAUGUAAGUCGAACGGAAAGGCCCUGCUUUUGUGGGGUGCUCGAGUGGCGAACGGGUGAGUAACACGUGAGUAACCUGCCCUUGACUUUGGGAUAACUUCAGGAAACUGGGGCUAAUACCGGAUAGGAGCUCCUGCUGCAUGGUGGGGGUUGGAAAGUUUCGGCGGUUGGGGAUGGACUCGCGGCUUAUCAGCUUGUGGGUGGGGUAGUGGCUUACCAAGGCUUUGACGGGUAGCCGGCCUGAGAGGGUGACCGGCCACAGUGGGACUGAGAUACGGCCCAGACUCCUGCGGGAGGCAGCAGGGGGGAAUAUUGCACAAUGGGCGGAAGCCUGGUGCAGCAGCGCCGCGUGCGGGAUGACGGCCUUCGGGUUGUAAACCGCUUUCGCCUGUGACGAAGCGUGAGUGACGGUAAUGGGUAAAGAAGCACCGGCUAACUACG